rnacentral:tRNA from 1 species
UGGGAUAUAGCUCAGUGGUAAAGCACUUGCCUAGUAAGCAUGAGGCCCUGAGUUCAAUCCCCAGUACUGCAA